rnacentral:lncRNA from 1 species
UCCCUGCAGAGAACGCAAGAGAGAAAAAAAAUUAAAAGGGAAAUCCCCUUUCUCUGCUAGGGUUCCAGGCCUAGCCUUGGAACCCCGCCGCCGUCCCUCCUUCCCACUUCUCCGAUCGCGCCGCCGUAAUAGUCGACGGGCAGAGGCGAAAGACGGGCUUUUAACCCCACUUUUAAGUGUGGUGGAUGACACCAGUGAGGAGGAGCCGAAAGAGAAAGAGGAGAAGUCUAACCCCCUUUAGCCCGACCUCGACGACGACGAAAGGGUCCCCGUCGACGGAGCCACGCGGCGGUUUCAGGUACUUCUUUUUCUUUUCUUUUUAUUAUUAGUUUUUACUAAAACUGACUUGCAAAAGAAAUGAAUAAAAGAAAUAAAAAAACGCAAGGAAAAACAGUAAAGUCAAAGGAAAAUAAUCAGAUUUAACCUUUUUGAACUUCUAUUUUUUUUGCUGUUUUGAUUUCUAAUGUGCGUUUUUACAAAGAAAAUUCAAGAAGAAAAAGUGCAAACAGUGUUUGGGGCUUUUAUAACCCGAAUUACAAGUCUCUCUAUUUCUAAUAUUUUGUCUUUUUGCCAUUAUUUCGCCGGAUUCUCCUAUUGCUUUGUAUUUAUUUCCCUCUGUAGGUGUCAGACAAGGCCGACGGUGGUGCCAGAAGGCAUGCGCGAGGGGGCAUUGGGCAAAAGCAGCGGCUCUUGAGGCUAGGGAGACAUGCGGCGCAAAGAGGGUUAAGGAACCCUAGGUUUUUUUUAUUUGUUUGAUUUUGGGCUUGAUUUGGGUCAAGGGUUUUUUUGGGCCAUUAUUUUGGGUUAUUAGGCUUUGUUGAGCCAUAUUGGGCCCGGGCAAAAAUGGGCUUUUACAAGUUUAAUUCAUAAAAAGAAUGAAAAAUGAAUGAUGUACAUGAAGGGAGUGACUUGCCUUAUAGAGGAAAAAAUAGGGUAAGUUAAGAUUUCUAAUCAUACUAGGAUUACCUAAACAACAAGUAACAAGAAAAAAAUUAACCUAAUGAAAAAAACAAAGUAUAAAACAUCAUUAAUAGGUGAAAGUUGACGAGCCUUUGAAUAUAACGGAGAGAUGGAAAAAUAUUGGAUGGAAAGUGGUGACAAGGCAAUGCCCUAUAAAACCCUUUGAAUAAAAAUCUUCAACAAGCUUUGCAAAUGGCUUUAAUCAACCCUCUAAAGCUGAACCCUAGUAAAUUGGAGGGUGAAGAAUGUUUCCCAUGACUUGUUGAAGAAAACCAAGAUGAAACAAAUUCUAAAAAUCAGAAGAGAG